UACGUAGGGUGCGAGCGUUGUCCGGAAUCAUUGGGCGUAAAGCGCGUGUAGGCGGUUCGGUAAGUCGGCUGUGAAAGUCCAGGGCUCAACCCUGGGAUGCCGGUCGAAACUGUCGGACUAGAGUUCGGAAGAGGCGAGUGGAAUUCCCGGUGUAGCGGUGAAAUGCGCAGAUAUCGGGAGGAACACCAAUGGCGAAGGCAGCUCGCUGGGACGUUACUGACGCUGAGACGCGAAAGCGUGGGGAGCAAACAGG
rnacentral:rRNA from 1 species